rnacentral:sRNA from 1 species
GGUUGAAAUGAAGCAUAGAACUCUCCAAUAGGACCAGAUUAAAAUUUUUUUUUUGUU